GAUGAACGCUGGCGGCGUGCCUAAUACAUGCAAGUCGAGCGAACGGACGAGAAGCUUGCUUCUCUGAUGUUAGCGGCGGACGGGUGAGUAACACGUGGAUAACCUACCUAUAAGACUGGGAUAACUUCGGGAAACCGGAGCUAAUACCGGAUAAUAUUUUGAACCGCAUGGUUCAAAAGUGAAAGGCGGUCUUGCUGUCACUUAUAGAUGGAUCCGCGCUGCAUUAGCUAGUUGGUAAGGUAACGGCUUACCAAGGCAACGAUGCAUAGCCGACCUGAGAAGGUGAUCGGCCACACUGGAACUGAGACACGGUCCAGACUCCUACGGGAGGCAGCAGUAGGGAAUCUUCCGCAAUGGGCGAAAGCCUGACGGAGCAACGCCGCGUGAGUGAUGAAGGUCUUCGGAUCGUAAAACUCUGUUAUUAGGGAAGAACAUAUGUGUAAGUAACUGUGCACAUCUUGACGGUACCUAAUCAGAAAGCCACGGCUAACUACGUG
rnacentral:rRNA from 1 species